ACCUCUCUCUGUGUGCUUGAACCGUCACGGCCUCCCCUGAAGAAUCCCUCCGCAACACGGCACCUCCCUCUCCCCACCACAUAUGUCUCUCUCCCCUUUCAUCUAAAAAAAAUAAGUUACGCUUAACAUAACUCGUGCCACCGUUGUUACCAUCUCCAUCACCCAAGUUUCUUUCUGACAGUGCAAUGACCUUUCAUUUGAAAAGAAAAAACGCCCUUAAUGUAACUUGUAACACCGCUCCAUCCAUUGCGACCCUGCUUCCCUCUUACUGCAGGGUUGAAGAAAGCAAGAGUGCUUCGUAAAUGUUAAUCAAAGCUGAAACGAACAGGUAUUGGGCAAAAGAAUUAUUAAUCUUUUUCUCUUUCCCAAUCGUCCUACCCUGUCACUAAGAGUGCUCUUGAUUCUUCAAUCGGGUCACGAACAUCUGUUACAGGUAAGCUCUCUUUAGAGAUAGAUUUUUUUUUUUUUUGGGAAAAUAGGUCUCUCUAUUAGUGAACGGAAUGGUUUGAGAUUUCGAUUCAUCGGAAAGGGGGUUCUCUUGUUUGGUUGAAGUUCAUGAUGAAUCAAUUCAAUGUCUCCAAUUUCUUUGUCUUUAAUCUCAGGUCAGAACUUUCCUGUGCUUGCUAAUCUAAUUUUUUGUUACUUCUGGUCCUUUGAAAUUGUUCUUUGGGUGUUUCUUCAUUGUUUCCAUGUUUCUACUACCUAUGAAAUUAGUUAUACAGAUUAAUUUAUUUCGCUUGCAGAAACAAUUUAAUCAAUUCGUUUCUGCUUGGAAUUUUUUGGUAAGAUAUUCCUUCGCUGGAAGUGGGUCGUCCUGGUGAGUUUGGUAUUAAGAAUAACUCAAUUUUUUUGACUUCUGAAAAAAGGGAUCAUGAGAACAGAUCUGGGUGCACACUUCCGCUAGAUCCUUUUUUGAAGAUUUAUUAUGAGUUUUAUCGCUCUCUGUCAGUUGCUUCUUUGAAUACAAUAGAAGGCAGACACAAAAUAUUUAUUCAUAAUUAAAUCAUAGAAAUCCUAUUGCCAUAAUGACUUUAAUUUUUGAAAUCUUGGCAGAAUCUUGUGUGAUGACCUAUUCCCAGACCUAAAUUUAAUUCAGAGAAUGCAUGCUAAACAUAGCCUAAACUAUGAAUUUUCUUAUAAGACUUCACAUCAUUAGGUUGACAUUUUAAUGGUUUGUUAUUACUGCGAUGUUAGGUGUAUCAAAGGAACUUAAAGAGUUACUGAAGUGGCUGAGUAUUUUGUUGUUUUUGUUGUUUGGAAUGGCUGUAGUUCAUGUUAUGGAUUCAAAUUUAGAUAUGAUUAUAGAAAAAUUAGGAUUAACUUAACUUGUCAAA